UGGGGAAUAUUGGACAAUGGAGGAAACUCUGAUCCAGCAAUUCUGUGUGUGUGAAGAAGGUUUUAGGACUGUAAAACACUUUUAGUAGGGAAGAAAAAAAUGACGGUACCUACAGAAGAAGCAACGGCUAAAUACGUGCCAGCAGCCGCGGUAAUACGUAUGUUGCGAGCGUUAUCCGGAAUUAUUGGGCUUAAAGGGCAUCUAGGCGGUAAGACAAGUUGAAGGUGAAAACCUGUGGCUCAACCAUAGGCUUGCCUACAAAACUGUUGAACUAGAUUACUGGAAAGGUGGGUGGAACUACACGAGUAGAGGUGAAAUUCGUAGAUAUGUGUAGGAAUGCCGAUGAUGAAGAUAACUCACUGGACAGAAACUGACGCUGAAGUGCGAAAGCUAGGGGAGCAAACAGG
rnacentral:rRNA from 1 species